CCUCCCCAAAGGGAAGCGGCGACUUCCGGGCGGAGCUGGUUGAAGAUGCCCCCUAGAAGUAUGCUGUGUAUUUCCCUCACACAUUUGGAAACAAAGAUUUGUGAAGAGGAGGACUGCUGACCAUGGCAGUUGGAGUGAUGGCCAUCCGAAGACAUCCGUGUCAUUUCUGGAACCCGUGAAUACGUUCAUUUGCUUGGCAAAGGAGAAUUUAGGGCACAGAUGGAUUUAGGAUUGCCAGUGAGUGAGUGGCCUUACGGAGCUCAUCCUGGGUUAUCCAGAGCUCCUGAAAAGUCGGUUCAGACGGCUUCUGCUUGUUUCUUCCGUGUUUCUGUGGGGAGACGAGGGCUUGGAGCUUCCCAGUCUGCCAUCCUGCUGACAUCACUCUGCAGGCGACUUUCAUGACAGGCGGUGAGAGGCAGACUUCAGACUACAAUUCAGUUUUCUUUUUUUUUUUUUUUUGCGGUACGCGGGCCUCUCACUGCCGUGGCCUCUCCCGUUGCGGAGCACAGGCUCCGGACGCGCGGGCCCAGCGGCCAUGGCUCACGGGCCCAGCCGCUCCGCGGCACGUGGGAUCCUCCCGGACCGGGGCGCGAACCCGGUUCCCCUGCAUCGGCAGGCGGACGCGCAACCACUGCGCCACCAGGGAGGCCCCAGUUUUCUUUUUAAUGGUUGAAGCUGUUUAGAUUUUCUAGUUCUUGAAUCGAUUUUGGUAACAUUUUUCUAGAAAUUCUCCGUCUUGCCUAUUUUCAAAUUUACUGGCAUAAAGUUAUUCAUCAUGAGCUCAUGACUUUUAGAUAUCCGUACCGUAUCUGUGGCCCCGAUUUCAUUCUUAGUUUUGUUCAUUGGACUCUUUUCUUUUUCACUAUUUCUAGAAUUUUGACUUUACGUUUUCCUCUCUGCCCCCCACCCAAAGAACUUUUUCUCUCAAAUUUUUUUCUUUGCUUCAAUUUUGUUGAUGUUUGACAUUAUCUUUCUCAUUUCUUUCUCCUACAUUCCUCUGUAUUAAUUUCUUGCUACAUAUUCAUCUUCAAGCAACACAGUUUAAGAAAAAUUGAUUCAAAAAGUACAAAGACGCAAUUUAAUCCAGUGACUUUUCCCUCUUCCUGCAGAUUGGGGAAAGCUUCUUGUGCCUGUGCUUUGACGUGGGCACGCUGACCUCAGCCCAGCUUGUGGGGUGUCGGGGUCCGUCACGCGCAGCCUGAGAACCGCCGUGGUGGUGGGUGCCCGAGCGAGGAGAAGGUGCGGUGACCGAGCAGCACGAGAUCCGACUCCUUACAAACGCAGACUCUCGGCUGGGAGGCGGGCGACCGGGAACUCUGGGUCUGCGGUUCACCGCGUGGCUCUGGCCCAGGAGUUCACAUCCCUCCCUUUGCUCACGUCCAAAAGGAGUAGUUUUCUGUCGACCAUCUCGGAAUUCAUUUUGAGCAGCUUUAGUCUGACAGGGCUGCCGUCACCACACGCUGCCCAUCGUGUGGCCUGAGCAACAGACGUUCUUUUCUCCCGGUCGUCAGCCGGGCGGGUUUCUCCCGAGGCCUCGCUCCUCCUCUGUCCUCACGAGGUCCUUCCUCUGUGUGCGCAUCCCUGGUGUCUCUUCCCCUUAUAAGGUCAUCGGUCCACCUAGAUCAGGGCCGCGCUUGUGACCUCAUUCCACUUUAGUCACCUCUUUAAAGGCCUCGUCUGCACACACAGUCGCAGCCUAAAGCGUGGGGAUGGGACUUCAGCGCAGGACUCUGUGAGGACCGACUCGGUCCACAGCACGAGCUCCGUCACCUGGGCAGUUGGUGCUGAACACUGUAAACCUAACGGGCAACGACAGCGCAAACCUGGGACACAGAGGAGGUGCUCCUAGGAUCCCUGACGGUGUCUCCGUGAUCAGGAAACCCUAGGGCCUGGGGCUGUAACAGACGCCCCGUUCAGAGCGCGUGGGUCUGCGCCAGCCCCGAGUCGGCCCUCGGUGGAGGCGGCCAUCCUGCCAGCGUGCGCGAGGCCCACGCGCUAUCGGCGGUCUUUCCCCCGAGAACGCGGACAUGGGGACACGUUCAAAUCAAAUGCUUUUUUAUAAGUUAUAAGGAAGUCAUGCCGAGGCAAGACUUUUUGUUUUUUUUUUUUUUUUUUUUGGCAAGGCUGUUGAGACUAUUACGUUAUGUUCCCACAAUAGUAUAAAAUGUAUGUUUUAUCACUUGAAUGUAGCCCAGACAAUAAAAGGGCGCCCGAGACUGGAAACGUGCCUUUGAGAAAGGCCAAACCAACCUGCAGUGAUAAGACCAGCGGGGAUAAAAAGAGUGAAAAAUGGUUACAGCUCAGGCGGCUGACCUGCGAUGGAUGCCCAUGGGCCCCUCCGCGCCAGCGGGUACCUCAGACCCCAGGGUCUUGGUCUCUUAAUGUGUAAGAUGGGAACUAUACUCUGUGGGCGUGCGGGGGAAACCAAAGUACUGGAACGUGCUUCCGAAUUUAAGCCGUCUUUUACCAACAUCAGGUGAAGGUGACAUUUUGCUGCCCGGUGCCGGAAAUCUGACUUUUGUUUUCCCGUUUAUUUUCAUACAUAUUCAAGCGCCGCAAGUGUGGUCCUUCUCAAAAAUCGCCAUUCCUCCUCCUGGGUGAAUGAGUCAUCAAGAAUCCUGGCCUAAGUGUGCUGCUGUUUCAGGGAAGACAGACUCUGGGGAAUGCCCUGGGAACACAGUCGGGACUGGUCCAGUGGCUUCGUUAGAAGGCGGCUCGGCGUGUGCGAGCUUCUCCUCGGAGCGAGACCCUGUUAAGGCAGAAUCGUGGACACUGAGAUAUCCGGCAGAGGCCCCCAAGCUGCGUGCAAGGGGGCAUGGGCCUGAUGCUCCCCUCUGAAACCUGUUCCAGUGGCCAGGAACACACAAGAGGCUCUGAAGGGGACCCCCAAUGGCUACUGCAAUCACAGGGCACCUCCCUGUCACCCCCGAGCCCCCCCGGGACACAGGGUCAUCCUGUGCGUGGGUUCCCACCUAAGAUCCACCUUUUCCGACAGGUACGUGACUGUCGCCGCCUUCUUUCCCGGGACGGGUCCGACGAAGACGCUGGCCUGGCGAGGGGUGUGCGCGACCCGAACCCCACACGGCACGAUCAGCUCCCCCAGCUUGGCUCGGGGCGGGCCGCCGGCCGGGGUGGUGAACGUGGUCGGUGGAGCGGCAAACAGGGCUCCCCGGUACCGCCCGGCGGGCGAGAGGCGCUCCUGGCGGCAGAGCUGUGGGCAAAGGCGGGGGGCGGGGUGCUCCACGCCAGUUCAUUGUUCACAACAGGCCGACUGCAAGGCUCACGUCCUUUUUCAGAAGAAGAACAAACUGAAGGUGAGGUCGCACACUCUCGGUGAAUUCGGAGGAUCCGGGGGAGACGAUGCCGUUUAAUGAUAAGGACAGAUAAUGAGCAGUGACGUCUUCUGACGCAGCCUGCAGGCAGAGCUCCAAGCAAACGGAUUUACAGGCCAAAAAAAAAAAAGGCCUUGGAAUUACUGCAAAUUCUAACCCAAAUUGUUGAAAAGUAAUCACCUGUUCAGCUGAGGGAGGAGAAACGGCCUCUGCGUUCUGGGUAACCCAGAGGAACGUGGAGGCAGGGGUCUCGCCGGACACAAGUGCCCCGGGCACCGGGACAGCAGCCUUCGCCCCGGGCUCAGGGUUCCCGGAGCAAGUGACGCCACAGCCCCGGACGGCUGUGGAUCCAGCCUCCUGGUGUCAAGGGUGUAAAUGGCAAAGCACAGAGCAGAAGUCCUAGCUGUGCCCUGACAGGCCAGGUCGGGGAGGGAUGCGCCCUGAUGGAGGGGGGAUGAGUGCGUGGAGACCUUGGGACGGGGUUCAGAGACGGCGCCUUACACUGCCCGCCCUUCUGUGCCGAUAAAGUCACGUCGGCGGCUGGCCAGAGGGACGGGGGGAGGCCCCGCUGUUCUGAACGCUCGGGUCACUGACGCCAGGUUCAUAAAGACUUCUCUAUGUGCAAAUGCCCUCUGGGACAUGCUGCCCGUUAUCUGCCAUCCACACCUGAGAGCUUUAACCCGAUGUUUCCCUGAGGACAGAACCGAACACCUGAGAUCGGCGGCUCAGAGAAACUAAGGAUUUUGACGGGAGGUUUCCACGCUCCUCUCCUUUGGAAGACGACGAUCGUACUGUAACGGCGACAUCAGCAACAACAACAAGCCCCCAAGACCCCACUGCAGCAUCAGGGGAGCUGACUGGAUAGACAAGGCCGUGGACUCCUUCUCUCUUCUCACCCCAGCCUUGAGUUUUGCCAUAAGCUUUGAUACAUUUCACAGCUUCCCUUCGACUUGGGCGAAGACAACACCGAGGCAGAAGAGAUCUGCUUUGGUUAAACGUGACUCGAGCUGCAAGGAGAAACCCACCGUCCGUAAACUCAGUGAAUCCCUGGGCCGCCCUGCCCUGAAGCGGGGGAUAGAGAAUCUUACUAAAGUUGGAUGCAGUCACGCACCCUAAAAACCAGCUGCGGAGGUCGGUAACCGAGACGGUACAGAAAGGAGUACAGUAAGGACACCCAGAAUUCCUGAAGCCACCCGAGGACCCCGGACACCCUGAGAACAACCGAGUGGGAAGAGGGGAAGGCCUGGAUCCUAGGUUUUUGUUUGCAGAAGCCCAAGCAACCAAAUGCUGCAGUUCUCAUGACCCCGCCCCUUGCCAGAGGUGAGGGUUUGCUGUGUAUUUUUCCAGAUUCUGUACAACACACACACACACAUACUUGGGAGACAGUUUUUCCUAAUCAAGGAUAGAUCUUGGUAUACAGAAAAGCAGUAGCUCAAGCCUGUUUUUAACCCAGCAGAAGGACGUAAGUGCGCCUUUCUCAGGUUUAGAAUGUGCCUUCCGAAGCUAAUUUGAUUCUUCCUGCUUCUCCGCCCACACUUAUUGAACACUUGCUGUCUACCAGGCACGUGCAAAGUGCCAGGAAGCAAAGCUGAUUAAGACGCAGUCCCCGACCUCAGUUUAAAGCACGUACUGCAAAAGUCAAUAAAUGAAAAUGCUUCCCUUUAUUUAUUUAUUCAGCUUGAAAUCAGAGGAAGCAAAGAAUUACAAGGAUCUGAUUCUUCACUCAAAAUAAUCGAGACUAGGUGCAUGCUGACUUUCCAAUCCUAAGUAAAAUAAUUUCUGGGGAAGUUUAAUCAAGAUUCAGUUGACUUAAAAUUAAAUUUGGCAAUUUAUGCUCCAAAUACACUCCCCGAUGUAUAUAAGGACAUGUGUGUAUAGGAGUUCAUUGCCAUAGAAAGAGAGAUGAUUGGCAGGUUUUUUAAUAAAUAUAAUAGGACACCUGAUUCUUCUUAUUGCUGAGCUUUAGUUAAAACCUUCCGCUUACCGAAAUGAGUUUAAGUAUGGGAUACUCCCCCAAUACUUCCUUUAUUAUCCUCAGUCCCCGCGCUUUUGCUUCCUGGGUCCUCGUGAUCGAUGGGCCUCAGAUGUACUAGUGCAGCCCACGCUCCGCUCUGAAGGCACAGAGCAUAAAAUUGCUUUGCUACUGCCCUUGACAUUGCCUUAAGGGUUCUGACUGAGGCAGUCAACUUUCCUGUCUAGCAAAGCAUCAUUCCGUCCCCACGGGUACGUUGUAAAAAAUGAGAAUUGUGAGGCUGCAAGCAGCACAGGUUAACAGAGUGGCCGAGAAAGCUCUACAAGGCCCUCUGACAUGUGCCUCCAUCCAGCUUCCCCCCGACAGGCCUGCUUUCACUGCAAGCCUUUUGGUACAACAAUUCAUGGCCAUUUGCUCUAAAUCCUCAUUUCAUUUCAAACUUUUCAACACACACACACCCUCCACCAACUGCCAGAAAAAGGAGUCUGGGCGGGGCAUGCGGGCAUUAUUACAGGGUGGUGGAUGGUGGUGUGUUAUUGUUUCCUUCUAAGGUGACCUCAGAGAUAACCAGGUUUAUCCAUGUUGACUUGGAAGGUUCUGGCUAAAAAUGAUGAAAAGACAAUUUUAAAAAAUCAUAACUCAUAUCAGUGUAAAAUGAACAUUUAAGAUGUGUUCAUUUUAUUUAACUCUGACAGACGCUAUACUGGUUCAAAGGAGAAACAGAUAACACAUUUAUAGAUUAGAAAUACUGAAAUGAAGUUGCAAAUGGACCAAAAUAUUGGCUUUUCCGUGGGGUAGGGGGAUAUUCCCUUCACCAGACAGAAUUCACUUCUAGCCCACAGACAAGAAUCGUGUGCACUGCCAGUAGGUCUUUACGGCCUAGGGUUGUGAAACAGCUCAAAGGCAAUGAAAGCUGGAAUCAGAUAACCUGGGGAUGGUGUGGGGUGCACGGGCUAAGAAGUAGGGUUUUCCAGGGAAGCGCAACUCUUUCCCUACAGAGCCCAGGAUGCUUGUUUAAGGGAGAUCACGGAAGAAAAGAGGAUUAAGUGGAAUUUACUGACAGCUCUGGACUAAAGGAGCCUCCAGAAUAACAGGACAGACGAGGGACCCGAGGCCCAGGAGACGAAGUUCCUUAUCCGGCGUCGCAGCAGAGCUCGCCUGCACUGCCUAAGGUUCAACACCAGCCGGGAGAGAGACAGACACAGGUGUCUAACAGAGAUCAAACCCACUUUCAUCCUUCAUAAAGCCGGCUGGACACCUGGGCCUUAGGCCUGCAGUGCGGUGAGUCUGCUGCCCCUGCCCGGAAGGAGGUACCCACAGGGCCGCAGCUGGCACUGGACCAGCGGCAGGGGCUGUCGGAGCGCCCCGCUCCUCCCUGCAAACCCUCCAGUGUGAGAAGCUGGUCUUCCUCUCGGCGGGGGGGCGGGCAGAGAAGGGGAGGCGGCACGAGACCAUGGGAACACAUGGGGCUCCUCUCUGACACCCACCCAGAAGGCAAAUCUCUGAAACAGUGACCUGAGUGGCUCUCACUGUAGCUCCCCCAGGCAAUCGGCUCGGCCCCAGUGAAACCGCUAGCUCUGGAGGACACAUCUCGGAGCACAGAUCCUAGUGCUGUUUCAAAGUAGAAAAAGGUAGACCCAAAGGCAACUGUUUGGAAACACAAAAUAUAGUUAGAAGUUUCACCUUCUAAAAAUGUCACUCCCUGGUGGCGCAGUGGCUGAGAAUCCGCCUGCCAGUGCAGGGGACGCGGGUUCGAGCCCUGGUCCGGGAAGAUCCCACAUGCCACGGAGCAACUAAGCCCGUGCGCCACAACUACUGAGCCUGCGCUCUAGAGCCCACGAGCCACAACUACUGAAGCCCGCAUGUCUAGAGAGCCCGUGCUCUGCAACAGGAGAAGCCAUCACAGUGAGAAGCCCGCACACUGCAAUGAAGACCCAAUGCCGACAAAAAUAAAAAUUAAAAAAAAAAUAAUAAAAAUGUCAGUGCCUAAACUUGACCACAUCAGGGGGACUGAAUAGAUCACAGGGAAAGUGAGCUGCCUGUGCCAGAGAAAGAACAAAUGAUGUCCGGCUGUGGCCCUGCGAAAUUUUUACAAAGCUAAGGAAACAAAUGGAACACACCUUUAACUAUUCUGAUAUUUGCCUAAGUCAGUCCCAUAAAAAUAAAUAAAGACAAGGUCUUCAAAUGAGGAAAACAUAAUGAUCCCUAAAAUGCUGCUUAAAUCCCCACAAUUUUCCAUGUAAACCUGUCCUUGC